rnacentral:lncRNA from 1 species
UGGGUCAAGUGACCAAAUGAUGAUGAUGACAGUGAUGAUGAUGAUGAAUGUGAAGAUGAAAAUAAUGAUAAUAAUAACAAUAAUAAUUAAUAAUAAUAACUUUUAGAACCCAGCACAACCAGAAAUACACAUUUAUUACCUCUCCGAUGUAGGAUGUACAAAGAUGCUUCUGUUGAACAUUCAAGUACAGUUAUUAGUCCUUGAAUGUAUAAACAUUUUUAUGAGUGGAGAAAAAUAAUGACCAAAUCUUCAAGAUGCAGAGAACCUAUUUCUACUUCCAAGCUCGUUUAACGGGUUGAUGGCUUACAAUUUACUUAACACACUCGCAUAUUACUUUUGAUUCCAGAAGUAGUGAGCUGUGUCUUCAUUUAUGUGCCUUGCCAUAUGCCAGGGGCAGUAAAGGCUGCUCUGCUUUUAAACUCUGCACAGGACACAUUUCCUAAGAGAGGAAGAAAGAAAAAAAUAUUUUUAGUUGCUAAGAAAAAAAAGUUGUAUAGCUCACUAAUUAAAAAUGUAGCCUUUGGGCUAGAGAGAUGGUUCAGUGACUAAGAGUAGGCACUGUACCUGAGG